UGUUGGAUUAAAUUUCAACGAUCCGAAUGAGUUGCUCAGAAGAGGAUCCAGUUUCGUCAAUUUCUAGGAGAUGUUCUUUCUCCUAGUAUCGUUUUAGUUCUUUUCCUCAUGUGGUCUUAUCUUACAAAAACUCAAUUAUACUCAGUCAUAUGAUAGGCACAAACAUUAAACAGCUUGAUAUGCGGCCUAAAAAUUUAAUGGCUGUGAUAUUAUAGUUAACAAUCAAAGAUCACUUGUGUACCGAGACGGACCAGCCUUCUUCAUCAAUCGCUUUUCAAACUUUAUUUUUAGCUAAUUAGUCAGCUUCUAGCCAUUAUAUACCCGUGCAUACUAUAAAGUAAAUCGUCUGAGUUGUGGGCAACUAAAGAUAACUAAGUAUGUUCUCUCAAAAUUUCCACAUGGAGCCCAUUCAACCCUUGCCUAUGCUUCGUCCUUGCUUUUUGAUCAAUCUAUCUUCUGCCAUUGUUUUUUCAAGUUAAUCAGUUGGUUUCUAACUACUAUAUUGCGGUUCAUAUUAUAAAUUAGGGCAUCGUCAAGUGGGUGGAAAAGGCCACGAGUCCAGUUAGGGUUUAGGGUUUCCGAUAUCAACUUGGACUCAUUAAAGUAUUACUAUA
rnacentral:lncRNA from 1 species